GCCAACUGGUUCUGGCGCUACCAUCGGUGUACAGUGUACAUAUUGAUCUUCCGUGGCGGUCUUUUUGAAUCUUCUUAAGUCACGUAGGUCUCAGAAUUAUUAAACACCGCCGAUAGAAUUGAUUCUUUCGAAAUAACGACAUCGAUAUCGCAUUGAAUAUGAUUUGACGCUGUUCCCGGCUGACUAGCCGUGCGAACGAGUGCUCACGAUUAACGACGAUCUGUCUCUGUUUUAUUAUUUAUAUUCAACAGCCUAAAAGGGAUAAUGAUUGACACGAAAUAUCUUUCUUGUAUGAAUAGAACGUAUAUAUUACGUUCCGUCUGUAGUCGCGGUAACGGAGCAAGUAAUCAUCGUUACAUCGGUAUCUCGAUAAAGACGAUCAGAGUGUCGCGAUGGUUGAUCGUUUGAUUCUUGGUAGCCAGUGUCUAAGCUCGAAUCGCCAUAGAAUUCGAUCGACCUACUACUAUUGGGUUACUAACUAACUAAGUGAUUGCGGAUUUUGUUAUUAGCUGGUAUUGACAAAAUCCCCGAUCACUUAAUUACCCAAUACGAUAUGUAUAAUAUAUCGCGACGCAUCGGAGCAUAUACCGUGCCUCGUUUUAUAAAUUAUCAUGCAUUUUUAUUAACGGUGGCUCGUGUUGCACUUAUUUAUAUACAUAACUGCGAUAUUGAUAGCAGAGUUAACCGGCUGACCGUCGCGCGUCACAUUAUAUUAUCAAAAAUGUAAGAAAAAAGAUACGACUCCCUUUGCUUUACAUACGUAAACAAGCAUCGUUAUCAUACUGGAUUUCGUCGAUGUGCUAAUCAGAUUCGGUGAGCGAGAAAUGUUUAUUUCACUGUGGCUACACCGGUUUACGAUUAUAUGAGGGGCUAAUCGAUUAAAUCUUCGCGAGAAGAGUAAACGAAGGCGGAAGAAUCUCAUAGUACGCGUAUUUGUGCGCGAAAGGAUCGGAACUAUUAUAAAUAAGCUUGGCUUGUAUUUCUGGGACGUUCUAUUUGCGUAUAUUUACGUUUAUCCUUAUGGACAUAUUCUUAUGCGAUAUGCGAUAUGCGAUAUGCGAGCCUCUGUUGGGGGAAAGAUGCGUGUGCACUCGGAACCGCGUCUACGAUGUCCGCGAUGAUACAUAAACGAUGUAACGGUCAUGCGCCGCCUGCCUCUCUAUAUGGAUCUAGGUGUAUUCGUUCAGAAUUGAAAAUUCCAACUGCCAGAACACGUGCUUAACGGAACGACCGAAGGGACGUCCCCGUCUCAACCUCUGACGUCGCGUCGAGCCGUGUCGCGCCGCGUCCGGUUCCGCCUUUCCUUUAAAUAUACAGAAUACAACGUAUUCACGAUCACGUAUAAUUUAAUCGACGAUGUUAUUUCUAGUUAACGUUUAGAGUCAGGAUGGCGAUAUUCGCCUAUCUUCGUCAAACUUUCAGCAAGAUUAACAACACCUAGUUCUUCUCCUCGCUUAUUCUCGCUAUUCUCGGGCCAUGAAUUAUCAUGUCUGUUGCGUUCAUUUAGCGGGUUCUAAAGUUUAUAUACUAGGAUGUUGCUCUUUGGUGUUCGUUUUUCAGUGGGUCUACACACAUGCCCCGAAGGCCCAAACAUGUAUUACCAUAAUUUAAAGUUUAAAGUCUCGUAGAGAAAAACGGAGAAGGAGAAGGAGAAGGAGAAGAAGAAGGAGAAGGAGAAGGAGAAGGAGAAGGAGAAGGAGAAGGAGAAAAGUGGUAGUUUUGCGAAGGAACUCGUUCAAGGGUUGUGAAAUUCUCAUGUCGCGGAGCAAAAUUUUAUGCGAGAAAGUAUGCUGGCGCUCUGUCGGUUUAAUGUGGCCGCGAGAGGUGCAGAAAUGAGAAAGCCUUUGACUGAAAAUGUUGCGUUUACAUAAUGAAAUUUGUUGGCGAGAAUUUAACGACGGCUCCCCUGGCCGGAUGGUAAGAACCUUUUUGUUGGCCAUUGCGGUAUCGUGAACAACGUGCGGUUCGUGGUUAGACGCGGAUGCAACCAAAGAAUCACAAACGGAUUUGCUUUCCAUCCCAAGAGCUGUCUGUUUUGUCUUACCUUCCUAUUCCUUCUAUACGCUUUCCUCUGUACGGUUUACUCUUUUGUUUCUUAUCCUCGCGCGAACGAGGUUCGACCAAUGGUAAAAUGCAUUUUUUAAAUUUAUAUCUUUUUAAAUUAUAUCCUUUUCGAAACGCGAUCAGUCCGAUUCUCUUACAAGUUUACCAAGUCUACCGGCCCGUUCAUCUGUUUUCUCGGUUUCAAGAUACGAGUUCGUAUAUUAUAUUAUCCGUUAACGUUCUCUUAAGUAUUAAAUCGACGUAUGUAUUAGUAGUAUUACAUAGAGUAUAUAUACACGUUCGGUUUUUGAUCAAACGAUUUUAAACAACUUGACUUUUAGUUUGUGUUUACGCUGGUUAACGUAGCAAUUUUUCUUCCUUUAGAGCUAUACUAGUAAAAUAAUAGAUCUGCAUUGAUAAAGUGAUUUGCAGUUUGUUGAACGUAAGAUCGUUUGAAUUCAGGUAACGUAACUCUCGGCGAAGCUUUAGGAAGAGGGGAAAGACUGUAACGUUAUUACGCGAGGCACAAUUUCCAUUUACUUAAAUUAUAAUAUUUUACCAAAUGUCCUAAUGGACAAAUUGUAAAAUGUAAACAAACAAUAAAUAAAUAAAAAAAAAAAUUUCUAUUUGCUUUGUUCUGGCAGUUCUCUCAGUUUCU